rnacentral:rRNA from 1 species
GAUGAACGCUGGCGGCGUGCUUAACACAUGCAAGUCGAACGAAGCACUUUAUUUGAUUUCCUUCGGGACUGAUUAUUUUGUGACUGAGUGGCGGACGGGUGAGUAACGCGUGGGUAACCUGCCUUGUACAGGGGGAUAACAGUUGGAAACGGCUGCUAAUACCGCAUAAGCGCACAGCAUCGCAUGAUGCAGUGUGAAAAACUCCGGUGGUAUAAGAUGGACCCGCGUUGGAUUAGCUAGUUGGUGAGGUAACGGCCCACCAAGGCGACGAUCCAUAGCCGACCUGAGAGGGUGACCGGCCACAUUGGGACUGAGACACGGCCCAGACUCCUACGGGAGGCAGCAGUGGGGAAUAUUGCACAAUGGGCGAAAGCCUGAUGCAGCGACGCCGCGUGAGCGAAGAAGUAUUUCGGUAUGUAAAGCUCUAUCAGCAGGGAAGAUAAUGACGGUACCUGACGAAGAAGCACCGGCUAAAUACGUG